UGGGGAAUAUUGCACAAUGGGCGCAAGCCUGAUGCAGCCAUGCCGCGUGUAUGAAGAAGGCCUUCGGGUUGUAAAGUACUUUCAGUCGGGAGGAAGGUGGUAAGGUUAAUAACCUUAUCAAUUGACGUUACCGACAGAAGAAGCACCGGCUAACUCCGUGCCAGCAGCCGCGGUAAUAUGGAGGGUGCAAGCGUUAAUCGGAAUUACUGGGCGUAAAGCGCACGCAGGCGGUUGAUUGAGUCAGAUGUGAAAUCCCCGGGCUUAACCCGGGAAUUGCAUCUGAUACUGGUCAGCUAGAGUCUUGUAGAGGGGGGUAGAAUUCCAUGUGUAGCGGUGAAAUGCGUAGAGAUGUGGAGGAAUACCGGUGGCGAAGGCGGCCCCCUGGACAAAGACUGACGCUCAGGUGUGAAAGCGUGGGGAGCAAACAGG
rnacentral:rRNA from 1 species